GAGUUUGAUCCUGGCUCAGAACGAACGCUGGCGGCGUGCCUAACACAUGCAAGUCGAACGUGAUCCAGAGCUUGCUCUGGUGAAAGUGGCGCACGGGUGAGUAACGCGUGGAUAACCUACCCUGGUAUCCGGGAUAACAUUCCGAAAGGGGUGCUAAUACCGGAUAAGCCCACGGGCUCUUUGGAGCUUGCGGGCAAAGGUGGCCUCUAUUUAUAAGCUACUGUAUCAGGAUGGGUCCGCGUACCAUUAGCUAGUUGGCGGUGUAACGGACCACCAAGGCGACGAUGGUUAGCUGGUCUGAGAGGAUGAUCAGCCACACUGGAACUGAGACACGGUCCAGACUCCUACGGGAGGCAGCAGUGGGGAAUUUUGCGCAAUGGGGGAAACCCUGACGCAGCAACGCCGCGUGAGUGAUGAAGGCCUUUGGGUCGUAAAGCUCUGUCAGAGGGGAAGAAAUGAUAUAGUGCUAAUACCACUUUAUCUUGACGGUACCCUCAAAGGAAGCACCGGCUAACUCCGUGCCAGCAGCCGCGGUAAUAC
rnacentral:rRNA from 1 species